AAGUCGAACGAGAAAGUGGAGCAAUCCAUGAGUAAAGUGGCGACCGGGUGAGUAACACGUGACUAACCUGCCUUCGAGUGGGGGAUAACCUCGGGAAACCGGGGCUAAUACCGCAUAAUGCCUUCGGGUUAAAGGAGCAAUUCGCUUGAAGAGGGGGUCGCGGCUGAUUAGCUAGUUGGCGGGGUAACGGCCCACCAAGGCGAUGAUCGGUAGCCGGCCUGAGAGGGCGCACGGCCACACUGGAACUGAAACACGGUCCAGACUCCUACGGGAGGCAGCAGUGGGGAAUUUUGCGCAAUGGGGGAAACCCUGACGCAGCAACGCCGCGUGGAGGAUGAAGUCCCUUGGGACGUAAACUCCUUUCGACCGGGACGAUGAUGACGGUACCGGUGGAAGAAGCCCCGGCUAACUUCGUGCCAGCAGCCGCGGUAAUACGAGGGGGGCAAGCGUUGUUCGGAAUUAUUGGGCGUAAAGGGCGCGUAGGCGGUGCGGUAAGUCACCUGUGAAACCUCUGGGCUUAACUCAGAGCCUGCAGGCGAAACUGCCGUGCUCGAGUGUGGGAGAGGUGCGUGGAAUUCCCGGUGUAGCGGUGAGAUGCGUAGAUAUCGGGAGGAACACCUGUGGCGAAAG
rnacentral:rRNA from 1 species